CGAGAGGACACCAGAGAUGACGGAUAACGAUGUAGUAUUCGUGUCGGAGGAGGCGACGGAGGUGCCGAUGGGUAAGAAGCAUGCUAAUGAUGCGCUAGAGCUGAUGGUCGGUAAGAGAUCAAGAUUGCUGUCACAGUACAUUGUUUCCCCCAUACACGGCCGAGGGGAAGAGAAGGGGGUUUGUGGAUGGGACGUUUCCCAAUCUUUUUCGUGACGUCGACCCGAUCAGACAGAAGGCGUUCGAUGAUUGGUUCAAAUCCCUUAAGUCCGAGUAAGUAUUUUUAUUAUUUUGCUACUAUUUUUUUGUAUUUUUCGUAACUUUUUUAUUUUUAUUUUUCAGAGAUAGUUAUACCAUCGGCUGUAUGACCGUGCCAACCACUGAAAAAUGGUUUGAAGAUGUACUGAUGACCUCAGCUUGGCUCGUCGAUGAUUUAAGUUUUUUGAGUUUUCAUUUAUUAUAUUUAUAGAAGUUCUUGGUUCAUUUACUUAAAUGACUCUAUCUUUUUUGUUGGUGUCUUUUUUUUUUUUUUUUGUUUCAGCAUAUUGACUUGGCUAUGGAAUUGUUACGCGAUCGGGCUCAGAGAUACCCGAGAUCUUAUGAUAGUCCUAGUCGAGUUAUCCUGAGUUCUGAAUUUGUUCGUAUCGUAGAUAUUGAGCAUCACAAGCUCCUAAGCAAGGGGAAUGAAUAUGUUCUGGCCGAGUACAUGCUAGAGUGGGUGAUUGGGCUACAGCCAAGGUGCGAAAAGUCGUGGACGGAUUGUACACAUAUGUACAUUCCAGUGAUCACAAACUCAUACUGUUUUUCAGUGAAAAUCGUAUUUGCUAAUUCCACUAUGUAUGUGUACGACUCUGAUCACAGCUGUUUGACACAAAAUCUACUGGAGCCAAUGGUUGUGAUCGUGCCCAUGAUGGCUAAUCAGGCGAUGAUUCGAGUAAAUGACAGAUUAGCUAUUGUGCGGAACAUGACGACGACAAAACAAGAAAGAUCGUAAGGACUUAAAACUUUUUAAUUUUAACAUUUAAUUUUCAGUUAUAUGUUAUCGAACUAAUAUAUUCUUCUUCGGUUGUAGGGGCGAUUGUGGCUUAUUUGCAAUAAAGUACAUAGAGUUUUUGAGCAUUGGUCGCAAUGUUGAUACAAUAAAUUAGUCUUGGAUUGAUAUGUGGAGACAUAAAUUAGCUUGCGACUUGUAUGAAUAUAACUGUGAUCCUUAGUGCAUUGUAUAUUAUUUUAUUGAAAUGUAAAUGUUGUUUACUUCAGUAUGAUUCGUG
rnacentral:lncRNA from 1 species